UACGUAGGCGGCAAGCGUUAUCCGGAUUUAUUGGGCGUAAAGGGUGCGUAGGCGGUUCGUUAAGUCUGAUGUGAAAGCGUGGAGCUCAACUCCAUCAAGCUUUAGAUACUGGCGGACUAGAGUACUGGAGAGGAAAGUGGAAUUCCAUGUGUAGCGGUAAAAUGCGUAGAGAUAUGGAGGAACACCAGCGGCGAAGGCGACUUUCUAAACAGUAACUGACGCUGAGGCACGAAAGCGUGGGGAGCAAAUA
rnacentral:rRNA from 1 species